AUUGAACGCUGGCGGCAUGCUUUACACAUGCAAGUCGAACGGCAGCACGGGUGCUUGCACCUGGUGGCGAGUGGCGAACGGGUGAGUAAUAUAUCGGAACGUACCUUAUUGUGGGGGAUAACGCAGCGAAAGCUGUGCUAAUACCGCAUAUUCCCUAAGGGGGAAAGUGGGGGACCGUAAGGCCUCGCGCAAUUAGAGCGGCCGAUACCUGAUUAGCUAGUUGGUGAGGUAAAGGCUCACCAAGGAGACGAUCAGUAGUUGGGCUGAGAGGACGAUCGGCAACACUGGGACUGAGACACGGCUCUGAGUCCUACGGGCGGCAUCAGUGGGGAAUGGUGGAAGAAGGGGGCAACACUGAUCCAGCAGUGACGCGUGGGUGAAGAGGGCCUUCGGGUUGUAUAGCUCUUUUGUCAGGGAAGAACCAGCAGCUCUAACACAGUUGGCGAAUGACGGUACCUGAAGAAUAAGCACCGGCUAACUACGUGCCAGCCGCCGCCGUAA
rnacentral:rRNA from 1 species